rnacentral:rRNA from 1 species
AGUGGAGCCUGCGGCUUAAUUUGACUCAACACGGGGAAACUUACCCGGUACCGGACACCGGAAGGAUUGACAGAUUAAGAGCUCUUUCUUGAUUCGGUGGGUGGUGGUGCAUGGCCGUUCUUAGUUGGUGGAGUGAUUUGUCUGGUUAAUUCCGAUAACGAACGAGACUCUGGCCUAUUAAAUAGACGUUCAAUCUCUUGUGUUGUUGAACGUUCUUCUUAAAGGGACAGGCGGUUUUUAGCCGCACGACAUAGAGCAAUAACAGGUCUGUGAUGCCCUUAAAUGUCCGGGGCCGCACGCGCGCUACAAUGAAGGAAUCAGCAUGUGUUUCUCCUAAUCCGAAAGGACGGGGUAAUCAUCUGAAACUCCUUCGUGAUUGGGAUAGGGGUUUGUAAUUAUUCCCCUUGAACGAAGAAUUCCCAGUAAGCGCGAGUCAUCAACUCGCGCUGAUUACGUCCCUGCCCUUUGUACACACCGCCCGUCGCUACUACCGAUUGAGAGAUUCAGCAAGGACUUCGGACUGUUUCACUGGGUGGACUUUGAUUGCCCUGUCGUGCCGGGAAGAUGCCCGAACUUGUUUUCUUAUAUGAUGUAAAAGUCGUAACAAGGUUGCC